AUCCAGCUGACGAGUCCCAGAUACGACGAAACGUACAUCCUGGAU
rfam:Schistosoma mattheei strain Denwood, Zambia genome assembly, scaffold: SMTD_scaffold0003326